AACAUCGCGCACCUGCGGGAACCUGCGGAAGGAUCAUUACAGAGUUGCAAAACUCCCUAAACCAUUGCGAACGCUACCUAAACCGUUGCUUCGGCGGGCGGCCCGGGUCCUUCCCGGCGCCCAUCGGCCCUCGCGGGCGCCCGCCGGAGGUAAACCAAACUAUUGCAUUGUAUGGCCUCUCUGAGUCUUCUGUACUGAAUAAGUCAAAACUUUCAACAACGGAUCUCAGAUCGGAAGAGC
rnacentral:misc_RNA from 1 species